GGAAAGUUCAAAGCUGAAAAAGCUGAAAAGAAAGGUUGAAAGAAUCCAGAAUGAUGUGGAGUUAGAAAAAAAAAGAGUAAUCGAGACUGACAUUGUAAGAAAAAGAAAACUUCUGAAAAGACAAAGGUUUCCAACCUCUAUAUCAGAAGCCAGUUCUGAAGAAUAUGCAGUUCCUGUUGCAAAAAGAACUUGCCAAAGACGUACAAGGGAGACUAUCGAUGCCUGUAAUGAAAUCCAUGGUGGUACAAGGGAGAAUAGAAGUCCAAUACUGGAUGCUUUGUGGCUGACUUUAGUUAAGGAAGCCACACCGUUUCAGUUGGGAAAGUAAUUUUCCUUAUCUAAGAAAGUAAUGAAGAAAGUUUUACCUCACAUAGUGAAGGAAAGUAUUCCAACUUUUGAGAAUAGCUUUGACAAUAAAAUUAGAAGCCUAAGAGUAUCGUACAGCAAGGGAUUGUUGAGUAAGGAGAAAUAUAAAAGUAUUAGGCUCAAUCUUUCCAUGAAUACUUGCAAAAGUGGCAAGAAACUGGAAAGCUUUAAGUUUAUGUCAAGUGUUUGCUUGCCAAAGAUCUUGCCCUAUGAGAAAUUGAUAACUUUUGUCAAAAGCAUUGAUGUUGGAAAUGUUAAUGAUUUCAAACAUUUUUGCUAUGAUUUAGAUGCAGAUGAAGUUGUGGAAGGGUCAUAUAGAGAGCUACAACCAUUUCUGUUGCAGCUUGCUGAUAUAUAUAUUUACUUAGAUAAGACUAGUCCAUCCCUGUGUCAUUUUGGAUCCGAACCGUAUCACUUAAGAGUAGCUCUAGGUGCUGAUGGUGCCCCCUUCGGCAAAGAUGACAAGACCACUUCUUGGCUUGUAUCAUUCCUUAAUGUAGGUCAGCAAAUUGCAAGUGAAACUGACAACUUUAUUCUUGCAGGAGCAAAUUGUAGUGAAUCUCACCUCUUAAUGCAGCACUACGCACGAAAGCUUGUUUCUGAUGUGGGUGACAUAGACUGUCAUAGAUUGUAAGACUUUUUACCUGCCAGUUAGCAAAACUUCAGCUAGCUUUACUCAAGUUAAUUCCCUCUGACAUGAAGUGGGCCUCCACAUUCAGUGGAGAACUAGCAAACUCAGCAUUUUACUUUUCUCCAUUUGGCAAUGUUAACAAUGACAACUAGUCCAUAGUUAAUGCUAGUUUGGGUCAAUCUGAACAAUGCCUAUGGAAGCCAUGGGUGUACAAACAGAGGCUUCAGGUAGCAACAAAGGUUAAAGGAAAGAGUUGGGUCAAACAAGACUUGCCAAGUCUACAAAAAGAACUAAGUUGUUGGAUUAUAUAAGAAGUCUAAAUUCCCAUCAAGAAAUUACUCCCCUUUUGGGUCCCCUGGUUGACAAGAUUUUUGCUGAGCCUCUGCAUAGUUCAAACAAUGCAUGUCAGCAAUUACAUGAGCUUAUGCUUGUCCAUGCCAAUGACAAUAGCAAGCUCGCACCCAAUUGUACUAAUCCAGUUAGGGAUGUACCGGGAUGUGCUUUAGCCUCCCAUCUUACCACUUUGAAAGAAAUUGGGGCUAGUAGAUUGUACAAGAAGGUUAAAAAGUGGUGCUCCCAGGGACAGAAGGGAUUCCUCUCCUAUCGAUUCACAGGGAAAGAGACGAGAAAGUUCUGCCACAAUUUUAUGUCUAUCCUAAAGGCAAUUUUGCGUGAGGACGACAGUCCUCAGCAACAGCUCCAAAUUUGCACAUUUGCAUUCAUUGGCCUUCAGCUAAGAGACACUAUCAGCCGGUUUAGUCGUGUCACAAUAGCUGAGGGUGUCUUGCAGGAAAUCAAAGACCACAGACCUCCUGUAUAGGAAACUUGGCUUAGGGUUAGGAAUUAAUACUAUGCAAGGGAGGGAGGCUAAACAAUUUCUGUGAAAUUGACAAGCUUUAGGAAAAGUCUCAAAAACAAAUACAUGUUCUAUAUAAGGGGAAAGGGUCAAAAACCAUUGAUGUCACAUAUCCCUGUUGGAUAUUUGGGGAAAGUCCCUCCCCCCCUAACUCCUGGUAACAAUAUUCUAUCUGAUUCAUUCAUCUUGAAAUUUUACAUAAUGAAACUUAUCAAACAGCUGAUUAUGCUUAUGUGCUGUACUUAACAUGGUUUCAAAAAGAGUUAUUUGAAUAAAAUAAUUUUAAAUGUGUAUUCAUGUGCUGUAUUUUACAUGGUCUUUAAGAGUUAUUUGAAUAAAACAAUUCCAACUAUGUGUUCAUGAACUGUACUUUUCAUGGUUUGAGUUAAUUAAUUAGUUAAUUAAACUGAACAAAAUGAUUGAUGACAAGGAUUGAAUACCUAAAUAAACAGCCAACAGUUUCUUGCAUUUAGCUGACAUAAUUAUGGAAAUUAUGCCAAUUAUUUCUAGCACUGUUUUUUGCUGAUCUCAGCAAACGGUCCUGUUAUUCUUUAUGCCAGAGAGUGCUGAGGAACUCCCAGCCUAUUGUAAUGUCCAUACCCGAGGCUGAUUUUCAUAAUUUCAGAGUUUUUUCAAUAUGUAAACUUAGCUGGAUAGUCACCAGUGACAAUCAUCUGGCUAAAGGAACCAUCUUUUUCCUUUUUGAGGACGACAUUGCUCUUAUGGAUUGUUCCUUUUCGAUAUUUAUUUGCCAGUGAGAGAAAGAGACCCUUCAUCUCUCCCAUAUCUGUGAUGUGUAUCUCAUGGACAGCACAUGCGUUCCUGACAACCACACCACCAGCAACAGGAGCUAAAGCAACAACCUUGAAACAAUCACACCUCCCAUGGUAAAUUCCAUGAGAAAUUGACAGUCCAUGGCCGGGAAGCACGCGUUUUUCGCUUCAUUUUUCUCAGCAUUCUGAUGUGCCAAAAGGCAACAAUCCUUGCCAACAUUCUUGCGGGCUGAGCUAAAUGAAAUUUGAAAGCCCUUUCACUGUCGAAUAUGUGUUUCUUGAUAACUGCUCUACUCAACACUAAAAGCUCGCCCCCGAUUUCUGUUGCUAAAGCUUUGUCUUUAAUAGAAUUCUUGUAAUCAUUCACAGCUUCGUGGAGUUUUACUAAAAGGGCUGCCAUAUUGAAAGCACCAUUUGUAUAGAGAUCGCUGACCAGUUUCUUACGGGCUCACUGUUAUCGAAAUGGCACGAUUUGGCAAGCUGCCAGCCCGGCGUGGUAGCUUUGUUGCGCUUAUGAUAUUUGUGUUGUUUUGAUUUAUCUAUA